ACCGAAAUAGCUCAGUUGGCAGAGCAUUAAAGACUAUACAUCAAAAGGUCCCUGGUUUGAUCCCGGGUUCUGGCA
rnacentral:tRNA from 1 species